AAUAUAUUGUUUACAAUUUACAAAUUAUAUAUAAAAAUGUAUUAAUAAUACACAAUACACAUAUUAUAAAUUAUUAUACGUAUAUUAAAAUAUAAGUAUCUUUUAAGUAGUGUUUAUUAGGAUUAUGAUUUUUAAAAUUGGUUAUUUAGUCGAUAAUCCGAGAUUAGACUGUGAAUUGAGAAUUCGAUCGUUAAUAGAAGAAAAUAUGAACGUCGUUCGAGCAGCAAAUUUAUCAAACCUAAUUUUUAUUUAUUUCACCCUUUGCCAUGAUUUCCGUGUCCUCUGUUUUGGUAGUGGACAUAAAAAUUCAGAACGGAAUUAUUAUGAAGAAACGAUUGACGUCAUUACGCUUUAAUAGCAUUUACCCAAUUUUGCAAUGAUAACACAACAUUAAUUUCACAAAGUUAUACAUUUAUAAGCAUCAAUGCAGAGCUGAGAAGAGAGUUCAAUUCAUGGAAGUAAUAUUGUCAGGGGGAUAAAGAACGAGGCAAAAAACCCUAUUAUAAAUUAUGUGUCUGUCAAUCAAAUAUAGCUAUAGCUUAACAUAGACAAGAAGACAAAUGGGCUAGCGGAUAAGACAGCACUCUAGUGUACACUGUUGCUGGUUCAGCAAUUUGAUGCCAGGCGACUCCGUUUACUGGGCUGGGAAUUGUCCUGUUAUUAGGGUUAACAUCUUCUUAACAGACAACAGACUAAUCACCCUUUCUGGCAUUUAAAUGAAAAUUCCUGGUGCGAUAUGAGUUGCCGAGAAGAAUAAAGGUAUUUUCAACAUAAUGAUAGACAUGAACAUUUUACCAAAAUACGGAGUCAUAUUUCAAAACAUUAAUUUGUUAUGUUCAGAAGCAGCCGAUUCUACAAAUACUAUAAAAGUUGAUAUUGAUAAAAAGGCCGCUGUACCAAGUAUGUUCGUGCAAAAUAUUUGUCAGGAUUGUUCUUCAGAAAUCUAUCGGACUAUUUGUGUAUUACAGAAAUUAUUAAAGUCUAGUACCUGUUAAAAAUUUGCAAAGAUGCAUGUUAUUAGAGAAAAAAAAAUUCUUAUUAUAAUAAUUUUUAUUCUUAUUUGUUUUAAUAAUUUAAACUUCACGUACAAUGUCAACCAAAAACAUUGUUUUUCGAUUGAAGGAUGAACUUGUUGUUGUGUGUUAAAUUUAUUUAAUUUAUAAAUAUUUUAAUUAUUUUUGUAGUA